rnacentral:rRNA from 1 species
CGGGACACGUGGUAUCCUGUCUGAAUAUGGGGGGACCAUCCUCCAAGGCUAAAUACUCCUGACUGACCGAUAGUGAACCAGUACCGUGAGGGAAAGGCGAAAAGAACCCCGGCGAGGGGAGUGAAAAAGAACCUGAAACCGUGUACGUACAAGCAGUGGGAGCACGCUUAGGCGUGUGACUGCGUACCUUUUGUAUAAUGGGUCAGCGACUUAUAUUCUGUAGCAAGGUUAACCGAAUAGGGGAGCCGAAGGGAAACCGAGUCUUAACUGGGCGUUAAGUUGCAGGGUAUAGACCCGAAACCCGGUGAUCUAGCCAUGGGCAGGUUGAAGGUUGGGUAACACUAACUGGAGGACCGAACCGACUAAUGUUGAAAAAUUAGCGGAUGACUUGUGGCUGGGGGUGAAAGGCCAAUCAAACCGGGAGAUAGCUGGUUCUCCCCGAAAGCUAUUUAGGUAGCGCCUCGUGAAUUCAUCUCCGGGGGUAGAGCACUGUUUCGGCAAGGGGGUCAUCCCGACUUACCAACCCGAUGCAAACUGCGAAUACCGGAGAAUGUUAUCACGGGAGACACACGGCGGGUGCUAACGUCCGUCGUGAAGAGGGAAACAACCCAGACCGCCAGCUAAGGUCCCAAAGUCAUGGUUAAGUGGGAAACGAUGUGGGAAGGCCCAGACAGCCAGGAUGUUGGCUUAGAAGCAGCCAUCAUUUAAAGAAAGCGUAAUAGCUCACUGGUCGAGUCGGCCUGCGCGGAAGAUGUAACGGGGCUAAACCAUGCACC